rnacentral:misc_RNA from 1 species
AACCAUUCUCACCUGCGGCUAGACCUGCGGAAGGAUCAUUACCGAGUUUACAACUCCCAAACCCCUGUGAACAUACCUUUAUGUUGCCUCGGCGGAUCAGCCCGCGCCCCGUAAAACGGGACGGCCCGCCGCAGGACCACAAAACUCUGAUUUUAGUGUAACUUCUGAGUCUAAAAAACAAAUAAAUCAAAACUUUUAACAACGGAUCU